GUGGUUAGAGAUAGGCAUGCGUCCUAUUAGCUAGUUGGUGAGGUAACAGCUCACCAAGGCGAUGAUAGGUAGGGGGCCUGAGAGGGUUAUCCCCCACACUGGUACUGAGACACGGACCAG
rnacentral:rRNA from 1 species